GGCGCGGGCGCUCCCCGGCGCGAGCCCACGCGUCCUUCCCCGUGAGGUCCCUGCGCGGCGCGGCCCAGCCCAGCGUCUGUACCUCCUUUCCAUCACCUGCUGCUCACCUGCCUCACUGAAGCACCCCAGACGUGAAGACUGAGCCACAGAAAGGUUACAUGGAAGCUCAUAGCGCUAAUGAAGAGUCACCGAGAAAGUCUGAGCUCUGUACAUGCUCCUCUGCCCUCGGCUGUGGACACCGGAGGGGAAGGGCCAGGAUGAUCAGUCCAUCAGGUUCUCACACAAAGCAGGGCGGUCGCUCCCCGGUCCCCUGGGGCGCCGGUCUUUGGAACUGAACUGCUUUUGAGGGGGCACAGCCGAAGAGGCGAGCGUUCUGGUCCGUGGUGAUCGUCCUGGACCCCAGCACGUGGGGAGAAAGGAGCCUUCAACUUGUCAGAGACGUGAGACAGCGGAGCCAACCGAUGACACAGGCAAUUAUAAAAGGGUCUUAUGAUAGGGGGAUUCUGGGCCUCUAGAACCUUCUUUUGCCCCAUUCUUGCUAAAUACUCAUUCUUCUAAACCACUUUUGACAGCAUGACAGAACUGGGAAAGGCUGAA